UACGUAGGAUCAAAGCGUUGUCCGGAAUUACUGGGUGUAAAGGGGGCGCAGGCGGACUUGUGCGUCAGAGGGUAAAUACCCCGGCUCAACCGGGGAAAUGCCUUUGAAACGGCAGGUCUUGGGUGCGAGAGAGGAUGGUAGAAUUCCUGGUGUAGCGGUGAAAUGCGUAGAUAUCAGGAGGAAUACCAGUGGCGAAGGCGGGCAUCUGGUUCGCAACUGACGCUCAGGCACGAAGGCGUGGGGAGCAAACAGG
rnacentral:rRNA from 1 species